rnacentral:rRNA from 1 species
GAUGAACGCUGGCGGCGUGCCUAAUACAUGCAAGUCGAGCGAACGGACGAGAAGCUUGCUUCUCUGAUGUUAGCGGCGGACGGGUGAGUAACACGUGGAUAACCUACCUAUAAGACUGGGAUAACUUCGGGAAACCGGAGCUAAUACCGGAUAAUAUUUUGAACCGCAUGGUUCAAAAGUGAAAGACGGUCUUGCUGUCACUUAUAGAUGGAUCCGCGCUGCAUUAGCUAGUUGGUAAGGUAACGGCUUACCAAGGCAACGAUGCAUAGCCGACCUGAGAGGGUGAUCGGCCACACUGGAACUGAGACACGGUCCAGACUCCUACGGGAGGCAGCAGUAGGGAAUCUUCCGCAAUGGGCGAAAGCCUGACGGAGCAACGCCGCGUGAGUGAUGAAGGUCUUCGGAUCGUAAAACUCUGUUAUUAGGGAAGAACAUAUGUGUAAGUAACUGUGCACAUCUUGACGGUACCUAAUCAGAAAGCCACGGCUAACUACGUGCCAGCAGCCGCGGUAAUACGUAGGUGGCAAGCGUUAUCCGGAAUAUUGGGCGUAAAGCGCGCGUAGGCGGUUUUUUAAGUCUGAUGUGAAAGCCCACGGCUCAACCGUGGAGGGUCAUUGGAAACUGGAAAACUUGAGUGCAGAAGAGGAAAGUGGAAUUCCAUGUGUAGCGGUGAAAUGCGCAGAGAUAUGGAGGAACACCAGUGGCGAAGGCGACUUCCUGGUCUGUAACUGACGCUGAUGUGCGAAAGCGUGGGGAUCAAACAGGAUUAGAUACCCUGGUAGUCCACGCCGUAAACGAUGAGUGCUAAGUGUUAGGGGGUUUCCGCCCCUUAGUGCUGCAGCUAACGCAUUAAGCACUCCGCCUGGGGAGUACGACCGCAAGGUUGAAACUCAAAGGAAUUGACGGGGACCCGCACAAGCGGUGGAGCAUGUGGUUUAAUUCGAAGCAACGCGAAGAACCUUACCAAAUCUUGACAUCCUUUGACAACUCUAGAGAUAGAGCUUUCCCCUUCGGGGGACAAAGUGACAGGUGGUGCAUGGUUGUCGUCAGCUCGUGUCGUGAGAUGUUGGGUUAAGUCCCGCAACGAGCGCAACCCUUAAGCUUAGUUGCCAUCAUUAAGUUGGGCACUCUAAGUUGACUGCCGGUGACAAACCGGAGGAAGGUGGGGAUGACGUCAAAUCAUCAUGCCCCUUAUGAUUUGGGCUACACACGUGCUACAAUGGACAAUACAAAGGGCAGCGAAACCGCGAGGUCAAGCAAAUCCCAUAAAGUUGUUCUCAGUUCGGAUUGUAGUCUGCAACUCGACUACAUGAAGCUAGAAUCGCUAGUAAUCGUAGAUCAGCAUGCUACGGUGAAUACGUUCCCGGGUCU